UACGAAGGGGGCUAGCGUUGCUCGGAAUUACUGGGCGUAAAGGGUGCGUAGGUGGUUUCUUAAGUCAGAGGUGAAAGGCUACGGCUCAACCGUAGUAAGCCUUUGAAACUGAGAAACUUGAGUGCAGGAGAGGAGAGUAGAAUUCCUAGUGUAGCGGUGAAAUGCGUAGAUAUUAGGAGGAAUACCAGUUGCGAAGGCGGCUCUCUGGACUGUAACUGACACUGAGGCACGAAAGCGUGGGGAGCAAACAGGAUUAGAUACCCGCGUAGUCCCUGA
rnacentral:rRNA from 1 species